rnacentral:piRNA from 1 species
UCUCUAGCGCUGGGAAUCAGUCACCCUGC